rnacentral:lncRNA from 1 species
CAAGUUUGCAAAAUCACCGUUUCAAUUUUCUAAUCAAAUCACCCCCAAAAUGGAUCACCAAAUACUACUCGCACCAAAAGCACAAUGACGGAUCUGAAACCGAACGUCCAACCAUCAUCUUCUCUAUCUUCACAUGAUGCUGUAGUUCAAUCGUUCUCCAUUUAAAAUCAAUUCCAGUAAAAGAAUAAUCGACGGUGUUGAAUAAUGGUUCUGAUUCGAAGGUUUCGACAUCAAUACGGCUUCGAGCGACCUGAGGCGCCACAUUCACUAUGAAAUAGUCACCUUCAAUCGGCACUGCUAGUGAAGCUGGCAAAGAACUCUGUCAUGAAAAGACGCUGAAUUUUGAAGAUUUUAGGGAGCUGAAUUUGAAGCCAAAUUCGGGAAGCUUGUUGAACUCGGGUUCAGCAGAGAUGCAGUUAUACAAGCUCUAAAGCUUUUUGAUGGUUGAUCCAAAAUUUGAUUUGGAUAUGAAUUAAGAUGAUGCGGAAGACGAGUGUUGCAACUAUAGACGGGUCAAGCAUAUAUAUGUUGACAAGUAUGUGUUCAAGCCCUUUAUCUCGGUCUACUAGGAUGAACAUCUGUUAGAUGUGCAAAUUACCAUAGCAUGGGGUCUACAAGUAGCAUGAAUAAAACACUUGGGAGGAUUAUACAACAAUAAAACCGGUCACAAGUUACAAGUUUACUCCUCACCACAACAGCGGUAAUGUGGCCAUGAAACCAUGGAUGCAAAUUUGCAGCACUUUUGGGUCUAAAACAGUGAGUAGAUGGACUUGAAGAAAACAAUCUGGAAAUAGUUUCUAGUUUAUAUGUAAAGUCAUUUUUCGGUGUAACAUUUGUAGAUAGGUUCUGAUUAGAAGUUAAUGUUUUUAAUUAGUAUUAGUAUUUAAAUUGAAAACUUAUGUAUGGAUUGGGUUAUUAUUGUUAAUAUCAUUUGGUUUUUAGUU